rnacentral:rRNA from 1 species
AUCUCCCAAGGCUAAAUACUCCCUAGUGACCGAUAGUGAACCAGUACCGUGAGGGAAAGGUGAAAAGCACCCCGGAAGGGGAGUGAAACAGUUCCUGAAACCGUGUGCCUACAAGUAGUUAGAGCCCGUUAAUGGGUGAUAGCGUGCCUUUUGUAGAAUGAACCGGCGAGUUACGAUUUGUUGCAAGGUUAAGCGGAAAAAGCGGAGCCGUAGCGAAAGCGAGUCUGAAUAGGGCGCAUAAGUAACAGGUCGUAGACCCGAAACCAGGUGAUCUACCCAUGUCCAGGAUGAAGGUAAGGUAAUACUUACUGGAGGUCCGAACCCACGCACGUUGAAAAGUGCGGGGAUGAGGUGUGGGUAGCGGAGAAAUUCCAAUCGAACUUGGAGAUAGCUGGUUCUCUCCGAAAUAGCUUUAGGGCUAGCCUCGAGGUAAAGAGUCAUGGAGGUAGAGCACUGUUUGGACUAGGGGCCCUUCUCGGGUUACCGAAUUCAGAUAAACUCCGAAUGCCAUGUACUUAUACUCGGGAGUCAGACUGCGAGUGAUAAGAUCCGUAGUCGAAAGGGAAACAGCCCAGACCACCAGUUAAGGUCCCCAAAUAUAUGUUAAGUGGAAAAGGAUGUGGGGUUGCUUAGACAACCAGGAUGUUGGCUUAGAAGCAGCCACCAUUGAAAGAGUGCGUAAUAGCUCACUGGUCGAGUGACCCCGCGCCGAAAAUGUACCGGGGCUAAACAUAUUACCGAAACUGUGGAUGAACCUCUUUAGAGGUUCGUGGUAGGAGAGCGUUCUAAGGGCGGUGAAGUCAGACCGGAAGGACUGGUGGAGCGCUUAGAAGUGAGAAUGCCGGUAUGAGUAGCGAAAGAAGGGUGAGAAUCCCUUCCACCGAAUAUCUAAGGUUUCCUGAGGAAGGCUCGUCCGCUCAGGGUUAGUCGGGACCUAAGCCGAGGCCGAUAGGCGUAGGCGAUGGACAACAGGUAGAGAUUCCUGUACCAGUGCUAAUUGUUUAACCGAUGGGGUGACACAGAAGGAUAGGGAAUCGCACGAAUGGAAAUGUGCGUCCAAGCAGUGAGUGUGAGAAGUAGGCAAAUCCGCUUCUCGCGAAGCAUGAGCUGUGAUGGGGAAGGAAAUUAAGUACGGAAGUUCCUGAUUUCACGCUGUCAAGAAAAGCCUCUAGGAAGAGUAGUACUGCCCGUACCGCAAACCGACACAGGUAGAUGAGGAGAGAAUCCUAAGGUGAGCGAGAGAACUCUCGUUAAGGAACUCGGCAAAAUGACCCCGUAACUUCGGGAGAAGGGGUGCUCUAUUAGGGUGCAAGCCCGAGAGAGCCGCAGUGAAUAGGCCCAGGCGACUGUUUAGCAAAAACACAGGUCUCUGCAAAACCGUAAGGUGACGUAUAGGGGCUGACGCCUGCCCGGUGCUGGAAGGUUAAGAGGAGUGCUUAGCUUCGGCGAAGGUACGAAUUGAAGCCCCAGUAAACGGCGGCCGUAACUAUAACGGUCCUAAGGUAGCGAAAUUCCUUGUCGGGUAAGUUCCGACCCGCACGAAAGGCGCAACGAUCUGGGCACUGUCUCAACGAGAGACUCGGUGAAAUUAUAGUACCUGUGAAGAUGCAGGUUACCCGCGACAGGACGGAAAGACCCCGUGGAGCUUUACUGCAACCUGAUAUGGAAUGUUUGUACCGCUUGUACAGGAUAGGUAGGAGCCGAAGAGACGUGUGCGCUAGCAUACGAGGAGGCAAUGGUGGGAUACUACCCUGGCUGUAUGACCAUUCUAACCCGCCACGCUUAGCGCGUGGGGAGACAGUGUCAGGUGGGCAGUUUGACUGGGGCGGUCGCCUCCUAAAGAGUAACGGAGGCGCCCAAAGGUUCCCUCAGAAUGGAUGGAAAUCAUUCGCAGAGUGUAAAGGCACAAGGGAGCUUGACUGCGAGACUGACAAGUCGAGCAGGGACGAAAGUCGGGCUUAGUGAUCCGGUGGUUCCGCAUGGAAGGGCCAUCGCUCAACGGAUAAAAGCUACCCCGGGGAUAACAGGCUUAUCUCCCCCAAGAGUCCACAUCGACGGGGAGGUUUGGCACCUCGAUGUCGGCUCGUCGCAUCCUGGGGCUGUAGUCGGUCCCAAGGGUUGGGCUGUUCGCCCAUUAAAGCGGCACGCGAGCUGGGUUCAGAACGUCGUGAGACAGUUCGGUCCCUAUCCGUCGCGGGCGCAGGAAAUUUGAGAGGAGCUGUCCUUAGUACGAGAGGACCGGGAUGGACACACCGCUGGUGUACCAGUUGUUCCGCCAGGAGCAUCGCUGGGUAGCUAUGUGUGGCAGGGAUAAACGCUGAAAGCAUCUAAGCGUGAAGCCCCCCUCAAGAUGAGAUUUCCCAUUUCUUCGGAAAGUAAGAUCCCUGAAAGAUGAUCAGGUAGAUAGGUUUGGAGUGGAAGUGUAGCGAUACAUGGAGCGGACAAAUACUAAUCGAUCGAGGACUUAACCAAAA